GACGUAGGGUCCAAGCGUUGUCCGGAUUUACUGGGCGUAAAGAGCGCGUAGGCGGUCUGUUAAGUGUAGAGUGAAAUCUUCAGGGCUCAACCCGGAAACUGCUCUGCAUACUGGCAGACUGGAGUGAUGCAGAGGUUUGUGGAAUUCCUGGUGUAACGGUGAAAUGUGUUGAUAUCAGGAGGAACACCCAUGGCGAAGGCAGCAAACUGGGCAUUAACUGACGCUGAGGCGCGAAAGCGUGGGUAGCAAACAGG
rnacentral:rRNA from 1 species